UGACGUUAGCGACAGAAGAAGCACCGGCUAACUCCGUGCCAGCAGCCGCGGUAAUACGGAGGGUGCGAGCGUUAAUCGGAAUUACUGGGCGUAAAGGGCACGCAGGCGGUUAAUUAAGUUGGAUGUGAAAUCCCCGGGCUUAACCUGGGAAUGGCAUUCAAGACUGGUUAGCUAGAGUCUUGUAGAGGGGGGUAGAAUUCCAUGUGUAGCGGUGAAAUGCGUAGAGAUGUGGAGGAAUACCGGUGGCGAAGGCGGCCCCCUGGACAAAGACUGACGCUCAUGUGCGAAAGCGUGGGGAGCAAACAGGAUUAGAUACCCUGGUAGUCCACGCUGUAAACGAUGUCGAUUUGGAGGUUGUGGUCAAGAACUGUGGCCUCCGGAGCUAACGCGUUAAAUCGACCGCCUGGGGAGUACGGCCGCAAGGUUAAAACUCAAAUGAAUUGACGGGGGCCCCCACAAGCGGUGAGCAUGUGGUUA
rnacentral:rRNA from 1 species